CGCGCAGGCGGCCUGAUAAGUCAGAUGUGAAAGUCCAUGGCUCAACCGUGGAAGUGCAUUUGAAACUGUCUGGCUUGAGUAUCGGAGGGGAGUGUGGAAUUCCCGGUGUAGAGGUGAAAUUCGUAGAGAUCGGGAGGAACACCGGUGGCGAAGGCGACACUCUGGACGAAUACUGACGCUGAGGCGCGAAAGCGUGGGGAGCAAACAGGAUUAGAUACCCUGGUAGUCC
rnacentral:rRNA from 1 species